UACGUAGGGGGCUAGCGUUGUCCGGAUUUAUUGGGCGUAAAGAGCGUGUAGGCGGCCAGGUAGGUCUGGUGUGAAAACUCGAGGCUUAACCUCGAGAUGUCAUCGGAAACCAUCUGGCUAGAGUCCGGAAGAGGAGAGUGGAAUUCCUGGUGUAGCAGUGAAAUGCGUAGAUAUCAGGAGGAAUACCGAUGGCGAAGGCAGGUCUCUGGGCUGACACUGACGCUCAUGCACGAAAGCGUGGGGAGCAAACAGG
rnacentral:rRNA from 1 species